UACGUAGGGGGCAAGCGUUGUCCGGAUUCAUUGGGCGUAAAGAGCGUGUAGGCGGCCAGGUAGGUCGGUUGUGAAAACUGGAGGCUCAACCUUCAGACGUCGAUCGAAACCAUCUGGCUAGAGUCCGGGAGAGGAGAGUGGAAUUCCUGGUGUAGCGGUGAAAUGCGUAGAUAUCAGGAGGAACACCGGCGGUGUAGACGGCUUUCUGGACCGUAGCUGACGCUGAGACACGAAAGCGUGGGUAGCAAACAGG
rnacentral:rRNA from 1 species